GGUUAAGGUGCCCGAUUCCGACGCUCAUCAGACCCCAGAAAAGGUGUUGGUUGAUAUAGACACCAGGACAGUGGUCAUGAAAGUCGGAAUCCGCUAAGGAGUGUGUAACAAUUCACCUGCAAAUCAACUAGCCCUGAAAAUGGAUGGUGCUGGAACAUCGGGCCCAUACC